GAUGAACGCUGGCGGCGUGCCUAAUACAUGCAAGUCGAGCGAACAGACGAGGAGCUUGCUCCGCUGACGUUAGCGGAGGACGGGUGAGUAACACGUGGAUAACCUACCUAUAAGACUGGGAUAACUUCGGGAAACCGGAGCUAAUACCGGAGAAUAUAUUGAAGCGCGUGGUUCAAUAGUAAAAGACGGUGUUGCUGUAACUUAUAGAUGCAUCUGAGCCGCAUUAGCUAGUUGGUAAGGUAACGGCUUACCAAGGCAACGAGGCGUAGCCGACCUGAGAGGGUGGUAGCCCACCUGGGAGCGGAGACGCGGUCAAGACUCCUACGGUAGGCAGCAGUCGGGAAUCUGCCGCAGUGGGCGAGAGCCUGACGGAGCAACGCCGCGUGAGUGAUGACGGUCUUCGGAUCGUAAAACUCUGUUAUUAGUGAUGAACAAAUUUGUAAGUAACUAUGCACGUCUUGACGGUACCUAAUCAGAAAGCCACGGCUAACUACGUG
rnacentral:rRNA from 1 species